UACGUAGGGGGCGAGCGUUGUCCGAAGUUACUGGGCGUAAAGCGCGCGUAGGCGGUUUCUUAAGUCUGGUGUGAAAGGUUCAGGGCUCAACCCGAACAGUGCACUGGAUACUGGGAGACUUGAGUAUGGGAGAGGAGAGCGGAAUUCCUGGUGUAGCGGUGAAAUGCGUAGAUAUCAGGAGGAACACCGAUGGCGAAGGCAGCUCUCUGGCCUGUAACUGACGCUGAGGCACGAAGGCCAGGGGAGCAAACGGG
rnacentral:rRNA from 1 species